rnacentral:lncRNA from 1 species
UCUGGUUCUUCAGAGGGUUCCGGGGCUGGUUCCGGGGACGGCUCCGGGCUCUCAACCUCGGGCGAUUCGGAUCGGCGACGUCUCAGAUGGCGGUGCCUACGGCGCUGUGGGUUGGAGGGGGGGUCGGACCUCCCCUCAUCGGCCUCAUCAUCGCUCUCCACGGGGCGGUAACCCCGACUGCGACGCUGCAACUCCAACGCUGCCCUCUCGGCCGCCCGCCCUGGGGGUUCCUUGGGGGGUUCACGGGGUAUCUUCCCCCACAGCUCCCGGGCGAACUCCCUGACGCGCGGCUCCUCCACCCGCAGCGCCUCCGUCUCCCGCAGCCGCUCCAGCAGAUCCUCUACGCUGCGGCUCCGCCGCGCCAGGGCCACCAGGAAGGCGGGGACGUGGCGGCCGCUCAUCCCCAGCAGCUCCUGCAGCUCCCCCGCCACCCAUCGCUCCAGCGCGGCCGCCAUGUUCCCACUUCCG